UCUCUGCUGUGAUGAUUUCUGAAUUAAUUCACAUGUCAGACUUCAGAGAUUUAUUUAUUUUAAAUCAAUGAGAAUGAAAAUUCAAAUUAUCUGAGCAGAUCGCAUUCACAAAAAAAAUUGUUAAUUUAUGAUUUUUGCAUUUGUGAAUUUUUAAAUCAUAAUUUGUAUGUAUAAGUAUAAAAUUAUCGAUGAUGACAAAAUCGAAGGCUUGUUUCUCAAGAACAUUCGCAGUGGCCGCCUAAGAGCUUUCUCCUUUCGCCGGGCUUGAGAGCUUAUGCUGCUUUUAUCCUUCCUUGGAUGUCUGAGAUU
rnacentral:sRNA from 1 species